rnacentral:rRNA from 1 species
GUUUGAUCAUGGCUCAGAAUCAACGCUGGCGGCGUGCCUCAGACAUGCAAGUCGAACGAUUAAAGCUCUCUUCGGAGAGUGCAUAAAGUGGCGCACGGGUGAGUAACACGUAAGUAAUCUACCCUCGAGUGGGGAAUAACGUCCGGAAACGGACGCUAAUACCGCAUGAUGCAGCGGCACCGCAAGGUGACAGUUGUUAAAGAUUUAUCGUUUGGGGAGGAGCUUGCGGCAGAUUAACUAGUUGGUAAGGUAAUGGCUUACCAAGGCUACGAUCUGUAACCGGUCUAAGAGGACGGUCGGUCACACUGACACUGGAUAACGGGUCAGACUCCUACGGGGGGCAGCAGUCGGGAAUUUUGGGCAAUGGGCGAAAGCCUGACCCAGCAACGCCGCGUGAAGGAUGAAGUAUUUCGGUAUGUAAACUUCGAAAGAAUAGGAAGAAUAAAUGACGGUACUAUUUAUAAGGUCCGGCUAACUACGUGCCAGCAGCCGCGGUAAUACGUAGGGACCAAGCGUUGUUCGGAUUUACUGGGCGUAAAGGG